GAUGAACGCUGGCGGCGUGCCUAAUACAUGCAAGUCGAGCGAACAGAUGAGGAGCUUGCUCCUCUGACGUUAGCGGCGGACGGGUGAGUAACACGUGGAUAACCUACCUAUAAGACUGGGAUAACUUCGGGAAACCGGAGCUAAUACCGGAUAAUAUAUUGAACCGCAUGGUUCAAUAGUGAAAGACGGUUUUGCUGUCACAUAUAGAUGGAUCCGCGCCGCAUUAGCUAGUUGGUAAGGUAACGGCUUACCAAGGCAACGAUGCGUAGCCGACCUGAGAGGGUGAUCGGCCACACUGGAACUGAGACACGGUCCAGACUCCUACGGGAGGCAGCAGUAGGGAAUCUUCCGCAAUGGGCGAAAGCCUGACGGAGCAACGCCGCGUGAGUGAUGAAGGUCUUCGGAUCGUAAAACUCUUUUAUUAGGGAAGAACAAAUGUGUAAGUAACUAUGCACGUCUUGACGGUACCUAAUCAGAAAGCCACGGCUAACUACGUG
rnacentral:rRNA from 1 species